rnacentral:lncRNA from 1 species
UCUCAACGGUUAGAUAAUAACCGGCGAGAAGGUAAAGGGGCAAAGAGAUGACCGCUGGGCUUCUCCACCCCUAUAAAGGGCCAGACCCACGGCAAUAGCCCAUCAGCCGAAGGCCCACACGCUAUCUACAUAAAACAAACCCAAAUUGUCAAAACCUUGAGACCGAGCUCCAAUUGAAUCUCUCGCUCAGGACGACCUGACAUGCAAAAUGCACAUCAUCGCCACUCAGGCAGCAAAAACUAAGGAAAAAGAGCAAGUCAUAGAAAGAUCCAAGGAGACAAACAGGGGGAAGCAUGAUAAAGGUCAGACUUGCUUAUCACUUAAAAAGGUACAGGAUUUGACUCAUCAUCAUUAAGCAGAGGCUACGAGCCCAGAACGAAGUGAUAAGGACGCCGCGGAAUCAUACAAAGUUAUGGGUCAGAAGCUCAACUCAUUGAUUAAAAGCAGGGCUCACAAGUCAGUUAGCCCAGCUCGAAAAAAGUAAACCGAAAGCUCAGUGGGCUAGUGGAACUCAGAGCUCGACCCAUUGAUUAAAGACAGAGCUCGCAGGUCGGUUAGUCUCGCUUGGAUAAAGUAAACUGAAAGCGAGCUCACAGGUCGGUUGGUACAGCUCGGAAAGAGUAAACUGAAAACUCAGACUAGCUAAAUGGAUUCUGGGUCUGAUCAAUUAAAAGGCAAGACAGAGAAAACAAUAUCGCAGAUUUCUCAUAAAAAACCACGAAGAAAGCAGUCUCAACACCUCAUUCAUAAUAAAGAAGGAACAGUUCGGGUAUGAACGAAAAAACAAAAGUUUCAUUACAGCACGUUACGAAUACCCACAUUACAGAAUAAAAAGCUAUCCUCAGAGGAUUUACAUGACCAGAUACAUCAUCUACGUUUACAUCACUAUCACCUAUCACACUAUCCUAGUUUUCGAUACAGAGGAACUCUCGGAUACGGAAAACGAGUCCUAUAGGCCGGCCGAGUUCUGCUUCGUUAUUAUAGGGGAAUUGAAUAAGUUGAUUCCCACAAGUAUUUCUCACUGUUCCCCUAUAGGCAAACAUUCGGUUGCCCAAGUGUGAUUCACGGUACAUACGAACAAGCUCAGAUAUUAUAUGCUGUUCGUAUAUCACGCAUGAAAAACAUAAGUCUUCGAGUUACGGCUUCAAGAAGAUCACAGAGCAUAUAUUCGAAGGCAUCGACGGAAGCUUGACUGAGUGCAGCAGAUCUCAGCCUCUCAUAAUACAGGUAUUCCACACCAAAGGGGACAAUAAAUUGAUCAUUUUCGCCACCUCCAUUUAUAUCAAAAGCAGACAACAAGGGCAUCGGGGAAAUUUCCUUCUCGAAGGAAGGUAAAGUCAAAGCAGACCCCUCAACAGCCCAUAGCCUCUUUGGAGCUCGAACAACAACCAGAGGAGGAGGCCAGCCAGACGAUCUGGGUAAAACAGUUUCAACGAC